GAUCGAUUAGCUCAGCGGAAUAAGAGCGCCGGACUCUGGAUCCGGAGGCGAGAGGUUCGAUUCCUCUAUCGGUCA
rnacentral:tRNA from 1 species